rnacentral:tRNA from 1 species
GGGCUAGUAGCUCAGUUGGUGAGAGCGCACGCCUGAUAAGCGUGAGGUCGGAGGUUCAAAUCCUCCCUAGCCCACCA